GAUGAACGCUGGCGGCGUGCCUAAUACAUGCAAGUCGAGCGAACAGACGAGGAGUUUGCUCCUCUGACGUUAGCGGCGGACGGGUGAGUAACACGGGGAUAACCUACCUAUAAGACUGGGAUAACUUCGGGAAACCGGAGCUAAUACCGGAAAAUAUAUUGAACCGCAUGGUUCAAUAGUGAAAGACGGUUUUGCUGUCACUUAUAGAUGGAUCCGCGCCGCAUUCGCUAGUUGGUAAGGUAACGGCUUACCAAGGCAACGAUGCGUAGCCGCCCUGAGAGGGUGAUCGGCCACACUGGAACUGAGACACGGUCCAGACUCCUACGGGAGGCAGCAGUAGGGAAUCUUCCGCAAUGGGCGAAAGCCUGACGGAGCAACGCCGCGUGAGUGAUGAAGGUCUUCGGAUCGUAAAACUCUGUUAUUAGGGAAGAACAAAUGUGUAAGUAACUAUGCACGUCUUGACGGUACCUAAUCAGAAAGCCACGGCUAACUACGUG
rnacentral:rRNA from 1 species